rnacentral:rRNA from 1 species
UURGUUUCACCCGAAGRCRGUGCGCUAACCGCAAGGAGGCAGCUGACCACGGUGGGAUCAGCGACUGGGGUGAAGUCGUAACAAGGUARCCGUAGGUGAACCUGCAGAAGGAUCA